UCAUUCAAUGUUACUAAGGGUUUUGUUUGAAGAGAAUUUAGAGUUCAAAGGUCCAUUUGGCUAUGAGACCCUUUAAGUGUGUUGCUAACCACGAGAAUCUUCUGGCAAUGUGUCAAAAAUAUCCUCAAUUGAUCACGUGGUUAAACCAAAUGAAAGAACAUCAGACCUGCCAGGAUCUUUUUAGUGACAAUCAUCUUAGAUCCGUCUGAGAGGCAAAUUCAUGUGUGAGUGCUACCAUCUGCUGUCAGUACUCAUGAACUAAGCAGAUGUGCUUGGAGAAAACGGCCAUGAGGAAGUACACAGGCAAUGGUGUGCUAGGCCGACAAGUCAAUAAGCACCUCCCUGGAACACAGUUCUCCUAAAUGGUUUUCUGAGGAAAUAGAAAUGAUGGGUCAGAUUUCUAUCUCUGCAACUCCAGAGGAGUUAUACAGGCACAUUCCCUCAUGAAAUUUAAUUUUGCAAUGGUUAAAUGUCUCAUAAAGCAAGUCUGACAUGAAUCCUGGGAAUUGCUUUAAAACUAUUAGAUGUGACUAUCAGAAGGAAAUUAUAAUACUGCACCUUCUUACAUGUAAUAAACAUGAUGAGUCACUUGG